rnacentral:rRNA from 1 species
AUGGGGUGCAGCAGGCGAGAAAACUUUGCAAUGUGCGAAAGCACGACAAGGUUAAUCCGAGUGGUUUCUGCUAAAGGAACCUUUUGUUAGUCCUAGAAACACUAACGAAUAAGGGGUGGGCAAGUUCUGGUGUCAGCCGCCGCGGUAAAACCAGCACCUCAAGUGGUCAGGAUGAUUAUUGGGCCUAAAGCAUCCGUAGCCUGCUCUGUAAGUUUUCGGUUAAAUCUGUACGCUCAACGUACAGGCUGCCGGGAAUACUGCAGGGCUAGGGAGUGGGAGAGGUAGACGGUACUCGGGAGGAAGUGGUAAAAUGCUUUGAUCUCUCGAUGACCACCUGUGGCGAAGGCGGUCUACCAGAACACGUUCGACGGUGAGGGAUGAAAGCUGGGGGAGCAAACCGGAUUAGAUACCCGGGUAGUCCCAGCUGUAAACUAUGCAAACUCAGUGAUGCAUUGGCUUGUGGCCAGUGCAGUGCCGCAGAGAAGUCGUUAAGUUUGCCGCCUGGGAAGUACGUACGCAAGUAUGAAACUUAAAGGAAUUGGCGGGGGAGCAC